CUACGGGAUGCACCAGUGAGGAAUUUUGCGCAAUGGGGGAAACCCUGACGCAGCAACGCCGCGUGAGUGAAGAAGGCCUUUGGGUCGUAAAGCUCUGUCAACAGGGAAGAAGUUACAGCUGUUUAAUAGAUGGUUGUAUUGACGGUACCUGUGGAGGAAGCGCCGGCAUAACUCCGUGCCAGCAGCCGCGGUAACACGGGGGGCGCAAGCGUUAUUCGGAAUUAUUGGGCGUAAAGGGCGCGCAGGCGGUCUUGUCCGUCAGGUGUGAAAGCUCGGGGCUCAACCCCGGAAGUGCACUUGAAACAGCAAGACUUGAAUACGGGAGAGGAAAGCGGAAUUCCUGGUGUAGAGGUGAAAUUCGUAGAUAUCAGGAGGAACACCGAUGGCGAAGGCAGCUUUCUGGACCGAUAUUGACGCUGAGGCGCGAAGGCGUGGGGAGCGAACGGGAUUAGAUACCCUAGUAGUC
rnacentral:rRNA from 1 species